AGAUAGAUACAAUCUCUCCAAGCUUUGCUUGGUAUUUUUAGCAGGAUGAAGCUCUAAAGAAAAACAGUCGAAUAAAGUGGGGGGAGGUGAUUUGUUAACUAUGUUGUGUUUUAUAAGCUCAUGAAACUAAUGAAACACUUCAUGAUCUUUCUCCCUUUCUCAAGCUGAGUCACAUGAUGAGUAUUGAAGUGCGGUCUAAAGAGUCUUUUGACAUCUAUGGUGGGAUGCAGUUGGUUUUUCACAGUUUCUUACGAUUUUUCAAAUGCAUGUCUACUAUUUAUCAUGGUUUUGCCCCAACUGGCAACUAAAUACCACACAGCAACUUGCUCACUUCCACCCCAGGGUGUGGUAGGGAGGAGAACCGGUGAAAAAAUUAAAACCCAUGGGUUGAAAUAUGAACAGCUUAAUAAUUAAAGUACAAUAUAAUAAUGAAAAGACUUAACAAUGAGAGAGAUAUAAAACUAAAAGAGGAAAGGGCGAAAAACAGUAAACACAAGUGAUGCACAAUACAGUUGUUCACCACUUGCUGAACAGUCCCCAGCACGACCCAAGCUGCAGUCUGGGCCUUCCCUAGGACUCCCCCCAGUUUAUACACUGGGCAUGACGUGCUGUGGUAUGUAAUACCCCUUUGGCUAAUUCGGGUCAGUUAUCCUGUCUCUGCUUUGUCCCAGCUUCUUGUGCCCCUCCUCACUGGCAGAGCAUGGGACCGAAAAGUCCUUGAUCAGGGUAAACAUUACUUAGCGACAACUAAAAACAUUGGUGUGUUAUCAAGCAUUGUUCUGAGACUAAAUCCACUGUCAUACAGUGUAUGCAGCACAGCACCAGGCUUACUAAUUGGGCCUAACAACUUCCAGUUUUAUGUAGCCAGGUAGUCAUUGGCUACUGUUAGCCUUAUGACACAGCACUGCCAAUCCUGGAGCAGGUUGUCAAGGCUGUGGGUGUGGUUUGAGGACGAAGCAGUCGCUGCAGCCUGAGCUGUUCAUCGAAUGAAAAUGGAGAACCCAAAUGAACAGCCAGAGUCUGGUAAAGAUUGAAAUAAAUAAAGUUUAAAACACAUGAGUAUCAGUACAUAAAGUAUCACACAGAACACAGGUUAAUAACUCUUUGUCUCUCCAGUCUCUAAGGCUUAUUUUACAUAUUUUAAUUGUCCUCUCUGUAAUAACAAUUGUACAGGGAGGAAGUCUCCUUAAUUUGUAGGAUACCUUUAGUUAUAUAUAUGUUUAUAAGGACAUUUAAGAACUUUAGUAGCUUAUCAAGAGACUUACGGAAAACAAUGGCAGUUUUAAGAAUGACUGGUUAAGAAUAAUCUAAUUGUUCUUCAUAUUUUUAAGCAUGGGAAAAUUGGUAAAACAACUUUUUAAUGUCCCUCAGGCUCGGUUACUCUGUGGUUUACAAACUACUUUCAGAUGCCUAAGAAUUUUUGUAGGUCUGGACCUUGGGUAACACCACCUGUAUUUAAAUAUUUGUAGUAUCCAGGUCAGCACGCCUGGUCCAUCAGUUAUUUCAUCAUCUGCUUACUGAGAGGAGGCAUACUGAGGGAGAAGGUGUGAUCACAGAUCCAAAUUUCUUUAAAUGUUCUUUUGGAAUGUUUUUAACAGAAAAUGAAGAGAGGCAACCUUUUUUAGGAAUAGCCUGAAGAGGGAGCCAUUGUUAUAGUAGAAGAAACAAGGAAGACUCGCUAUUAAUAAAAGAAAAAUUAAAUCUAAAAUAUUUUUAUUUUUAAUCAUUAUAUAAUGUUCACAGAUUUACCUAUAUUUAAUGUUCCGGUUUCUGUAUGUACAUAAUUUUAAAGUCAUGAUAAAAAUAUAAAUGCUUGGCGUUUGUUCUGAAAUAUUUAUACUGAUUAAAAUAUAUUAAAAUGCAAACUGAAUAAGUCAAUUAUUAGUAAAGCAUUAAUUAGUUAAUGAAGUAGUUUAUAAAUUGAUUGUAAACAUAGAAUGUAUUUAUUUUCUAACAGAAUGACAUUAGGGAUGAUUCUGCAGGUGCUGUGUUUCUUCCACACUAAAAUACUGAUUUCAUUAGAAAUGUUUCUCACUUAAAGAACAGUACCAGCUGUUUGCUUGGCUGUGUAACUUAAAGCUCUGUCUGCUUGAUAUCACAGUAGUCAGUGUCACUAGAAUAACUAGUAACUAAUGGUCAUAUAAAGCAGUUGUAUUUUUUUUUUUUUCUCUUCAAAAGACUGAUGAGGUGCUGCUCAACAUUAAAAAAGGAAAAGACAGGGUGACUGGUGGAUGCCCUGUCUUGAUCUAAAAGGGAAAGAGUAACUCUCAAUACCCCUGUGGGUAGGAGUGGAUUCCCCAGUGCUGCCUUUCAUGGCCGGGAGAACCUGAAAUUGAAGUCUUCUCUUUCUCUCUUCUGGGAUUGAAGGAGGCAUGAAGAUGGUCUGCAUAAUUCACUGGUCCUGCUCCUUCACACAUAUGGUUUUAACUUGAUAGCAAGAGGCUGUUUCAGAGCAGACCCUCAUUUCAGGGCACUGCCCUGAUAGUACCCGUGCCUAUAAAAUUAUGCUGUCUUAUUGGCUGUAUUUUACUUGGCAUUCCCCAAAGCAACAGAAAAAACUACAUAUAGCAUAAGACCACCUUCAGUUGCACUUCUUAGUGCAUAGAAAGCAUGGAUUAUAGUGACUUCCAGAGCAGUUUUAUUGCUAGAAACACAGCCUCCAUGCCUUUCAGGAGGAAAUACACCAUCUGAGAAGUGCUGAACCUCCACUACCUCACUGAGCUUUCUAGUCCUCUCUUUGGCCAAAAGUGUCAUGAGUAGCUGUUUCUUGGUGGUUGAAGUCACUUUGUAAAGCCACAGUGGAACAGGAGACUGCAAUGAAGUUUUAUGUCAAUUGCAUGUCUUCGAAUACUUUAGCAAAAUUCAGUCAUUUACCUUUAUAGAGCAGUAGCUUCUAAGCAUGGGCUGAUCUUUCCUGAGUCAUGUGCAGGUGCUGGAGUGCUCGCCCCUGCAGCAUUCCUUACCACACAGGUUCCUAUAUGGUUUCGAUGGGUGAAGGCAGCUGAGAGACUGCAGAGGACUUGUUCUGCAGGUUGAUGAUGUGCAAAACAGUGUCUUCUGAUCUUGGAGGCUUGGUCCUUGUCUUGAACUGCUCCUUCUUGACACAGGCACCAAAAGUUGCACUGCAGUUAUGGAGUCUACAGAGCCAACACAGCAUCCUGUGAAGGACAGGGAAGAGAUUAACUUGAUAAUGGAUCUUUCUUCAAACAAUUACAUAAUGAAAUUUUGUUUAUGCUAGGAGGAAAUGACAGUGCUGUUUAUUGCUCAGAUCCAGAAGAUGGAAUACGUGUGAGGCAGCAUGAGCAUGGUGAUACUACAAAACAGAAAUAAAGCAAUUUUAAUAAAAUACAUGUAAAAAAAAAUUCAUUUUGCCCAGAAUUUUAAAACUAAAGCAUAACAUAUUCCACUCGGCAAGAAUAAAUUAUCUAUAACCCUAUUUUAUAGCAUUAGGGAUAAGAUAAAUGAAUACUAUUUAUUAGUAUGCCAAGUAAUAACAUGACAAUUAUUUUUUCCACCAAUUCUGACCCACUAAAUAUGCAAUUUUUAUGUUUUUCCAGAUCAGGAAGUUAGAAAGCUUAAGAAUAAUAAAAUGCUUUGCUGAUUUUCUUGUGAUCUUUUCUUUCUAUCAGUUGUUAGUCUCUGUAUUGGAAUUUUCAUGUAAGUGCCGAUGGAGCUUUGAUAUCUCCAGGAAAAA